GGGGGCCAGCCCUUCCCUCCUGGGCGGGCAUUUUCACCUCCAGGUACAAAGGGGUGGUCCCCAGAGGAGGACUCGGGGCUUAAGGAGAAGCUGAGGCCCGGUCCUCUGGCCUCAACGACUGCACAUUCUCGCCGCCUGCUUCACUUCUUAGAGCCUUGGAGUGAGGAAACCAAGGCUCAGAGAGGUUGAGAAGCUGCCCAAGGACCCACAGCUAGUGGGCACAACCAGGGAAGUGAGCCCUGACUCUAGGCAGGACAGUGCUUCCAGGGGUGGCCUCUUCAGAGACGGCACCUCUGGGAUCAGGAGCAGGCAGCACGGCUCUGAGGUUGCAGCAGGGCUGAAUGCAGAACACCAGCCUGUUUUAGGAACCAUGUCGUCACCUAGUAACUAGUAUUUCCUCGGGGACAGUGGACUGCCGAACUCUGAGAGGGAGGGCCACUGGCAGCGAUGGACGAAUGGCCCAUGGCAGGAGUGCUGGUGUCCUCGAAGCAGGCAGCCCGGAAGCACUGGCCCCUUCAUGGCCAGCCCAGAGCUUUGGGGCGCAGCGGAUUCCGAUGGCAGUUGAUUCGGGAAGGUGGAGGAAGCCGAGGGACGGGGCAAUGCCCAGGACCCAGGGUUUCCCGGAGCUGCUGACCAGAUUUCCAGGCUGGUGGGCCACCUCAACCUGGCCACUGUGCAGGGAGCUGUUGCUGCUGCCUGGAGAUCCUAUGGCUCCCUGCCAGCCCAGGUCAGUGGGAUUUUAUGUUAAAUUCCUUUUCCCCUGGUAACUAUGCCAGGACAGCCAGUUGGGGGAUUCAUGUCACCAUCCCCCAUCCCCAGGAUCUCCGCAGGGGCCCAUCAGGGCCCUGUGGGCCUUCACCUGACAGCUUUAUGCUGAUUGGCCACGCUCAACCCAGGUAUCCAGAAAGCCACUUCCAGUCCUCACUAUACCACUGUCCUUCUCUUCUUCCCCCGGCCUUAGCUUCCUGGUACAGAAAGAGCAGGGUAGACGGAGGAGCCCAUCUUGUUGUUGACACGGACUGUGUGGUUUCUUCCUUGUGUCAAAUUCUCUCCUUCCACUCCGUUCUCCUUCCCACCAGCCUCGUUCUCCAUUCAUCAGGUCCGCUCCCCUGGCCAUCCUGUAAGGUGGCCCCUCUAGAUUGCCCCUGUCUGCAGUGACAACACUCCACUUUGACUGGCACAGCCCCAGUUCCAGAACCGGAGUCCCUGCCCCUGGCAGCCCCUCAGUCCCAAAGAAAUCCGGAUGGUCGAUCGCCUGGGUUGUCCCUUCCUUAAGGCCCCUCCAUCCUUGCCAGCAUCCUGGCCCUCACCAGGGGCCGCUCCCUUGUCCACCUCCCUCGCUACUGUGGGCUCAUGAGAGAGGGACACCCUGUCCACCUCGGUGCCUGCCAGGAGGGACGCACAGCAGGUGCUCAAUAAAGACCCU
rnacentral:lncRNA from 1 species